GAAUCUUGGGAAUGGGCGAAAGCCUGACCCAGCAACGCCGCGUGGGCGAUGAAGGCCUUCGGGUUGUAAAGCCCUUUUGCGGGGGAAGAUGAUGACGGUACCCCGCGAAUAAGCCACGGCUAACUACGUUCCAGCAGCCGCGGUAAUACGUAGGUGGCAAGCGUUGUCCGAAUUUACUGGGCGUAAAGGGCGUGCAGGCGGUCUGGUAAGUCUAGGGUGAAAGCUCCCGGCUCAACUGGGAGAGGUCCUUGGAUACUGGCGGACUUGAGGGAGGCAGAGGAAAGUGGAAUUCCCGGUGUAGUGGUGAUAUGCGUAGAUAUCGGGAGGAACACCAGUGGCGAAGGCGGCUUUCUGGGCCUUACCUGACGCUGAGACGCGAAAGCGUGGGGAGCGAACCGG
rnacentral:rRNA from 1 species